UACGUAGGGAGCGAGCGUUGUCCGGAUUUACUGGGUGUAAAGGGUGCGUAGGCGGGACUGCAAGUCAGGCGUGAAAUACCGGGGCUUAACUCCGGGGCUGCGCUUGAAACUGCGGUUCUUGAGUGAAGUAGAGGCAGGCGGAAUUCCUAGUGUAGCGGUGAAAUGCGUAGAUAUUAGGAGGAACACCAGUGGCGAAGGCGGCCUGCUGGGCUUUAACUGACGCUGAGGCACGAAAGCAUGGGGAGCAAACAGGAUUAGAUACC
rnacentral:rRNA from 1 species